ensembl:lncRNA
CGCCCCUUCCCAAUCCCCUUGUCCCCCCCGGGGCCUCUGAACUCUUUUCCCUUGAAGCUCAGGGAAGCCUGGGAGAAGCCGUUUCCCACGGUCACAGCCUCAACCACCCCCACCCCCUGCUCCUUUGGCCACAGCCACCUCAGCCUUUGCAGAGCACAGCCUGCCCUGCUCUGUCCCUGCAGGGCCCCCUCCUUGAUCCCGGGAGCCUGCUUCUGCGAGUGGCAUCAUCACCCCACUCCUCAGGCUGCCCAGUCAUCAGGUCAGCAAUUAGCUACUUCCUCCCGGCUGCAUGAGGCCACCGAACGUCACAGCCCCUCCCCCUGCCAGCCGGCAGCGGGAGUGCUGGGGGGUGCCCCCCACACUUUGUAGUCUGUGCCAAGUCCUGGCACGACCUUCUCCCCCCCAACCCCCGCCCCUCGCCACAGUCUACCGAGCGCUGGGGUACUGAGCCUUUCAUCUGGGGAGCCCGGAGCUCCCUGCACUCCUAGGGGCGGGAGAAGCCAUGCUGCGGUCUCCCUCCCGCCCCCACCCCACCCCAAAUCGCCCCAUCCCAUUGGGUGAGAACACGGCUGCUGUCUGGGUGGGGUGAUGCCUGCUCAAGGGCACCGCAGCCCUGAGUUCCUGAGUGAGCGGGUCUGGGCCUGAGACUCAGGUGUGCCUGUCCCCAGUCACAGGCGGUUUUCAUCAGGCUCUCACCUGGGCCGGGGGCUCUGCCGAGGAUGGUGGCGGUGACCUGGAGAGAUUUGUAGACACAGAAAUACGGAGACCCACAGGGAAGAAGGUCACACGAUGAUGGAGGCAGAGACUGGAGUGAUGUGGCUCCAAGCCGAGGAACACCAAGGACUGUCUGCACCCACUAGAAGCUGGGAGAGAGGCACUGAACCGACUCUUCCUAGAGUCUCCAGAAGCAACCAGCCCUGCCAGCAUGGUGAUUUGGGACUGUGACCUCUUUUAUUUUUUUUAUUUUGGCUGCACUGAGCAGCUUGGGGGAUCUUUGUUCCCCAACCAAGGGUUGAACCCAGGCCCUUGGCAGUGAGAGUGUCAAGUCCUAACCACUGGGCCACCAGGGAAUUCCCUGGCCUUCUUAAUUAUGAGAGAAUAAAUCUGUGUUGUUUUAAGCCACCAAGUCUGUGGUAGUUCGUUAUGGCUGCCCUAGGAGAUGAACACAAUCAUGCAUUCACACAGUCACGGUGGCUCUAGACGCAGGGACGAGGUGGGUAGAGUCCCUCUUGGAGGCUGCUCUGUCUCUGUUCUUCUUCCCCUGUGAUUGGUCCAGUGGACGCAAAAAAGUUCAUGGUGCCAGGCAAGAGAUCAAUUAUGUUUCAUCCCUCCUUCCCUCCCUGGAGUUCUUAACAAGGCAUUCCCUUUAAAAUAUGUUCUCAAGAAUGGGCAGCCAUGGUUAUAUGCACCAAAAGAUGUAUCUAAGGAGGCUGUGGCUGCUUUAAUGUUAUGAAUUAAAUAUUGCAAACAACCAAACGUCCAUCCACAGAACAGAUCAAUCAGUUGCGGCAGAGCUGGUCAAUGGGAGGCUAUUCAGCUAUGAAAAAGAAAGAACUAGAGUUGCUGAAACAACGUGGAUG